rnacentral:lncRNA from 1 species
CAAUAGAAAGCGAGCUCACGCAGCGCGGCCCGCCCACCUCCCGCGAGGCCCCGCCCUCAGCGCGGCGGCCCUCCCAGUGAAGCCGGCGGCUCUCUGCGCAUGCGCCGCAUCGUUUCGCGCCUGCGCGCUGGGACUUGGGGGCUGGGCCAGGGGUCAGGACGGCCGGGUCCUUGGGGGAGGUGAGGCCGAGGGCGAGGGGGGGGACGGGGGGACCGGGGGGGGCUGAGGGGGACAGGGGGCCCUUAGGGGGGCCGGAGGAGCCAGGGGCCUUUGGGCGUUUUGGGGGGGUCGAAAUCAGGGCCGCUUGGGUGGGUUUUGGGGAUUUUGGGGGUGGGGGAGGCGAAAUUUGGGCCCCUUGGGUGGGUUUUUGGGGUGAGGGGGCGAAAUUUGGGCCUUUUGGGUGGGUUUUGGGGAGGGGGGGGGCGAAAUCCGGGCCCCUUGGGUGGGUUUUGGGGAUUUUGGGGGUGGAGGGGGUGAAAUCAGGGCCCCUUGGGUGGGUUUUGGGGUGUGUGGGGGUGAAAUCUGGGCCCCUUGGGUGUUAUUUUUUGGGGGAGGGGCGAAAUUUGGGCCCCUUGGGUGGGUUUUGGGGUGGAGGGGGCAAAAUUUGGGCCCCUUGGGUGUUUUUUUGGGGGGGAGGGGCGAAAUUUGGGCCCCUUGGGUGUUAUUUUUUUUGAGGGGGGGGGGAAAUGUGGGUCCCUUGGGUGGGUUUUGGGGUGUGGGGGGGUGAAAUCUGGGUCUCUUGGGUGGGUUUUGGGGUGGGGAGGGCGAAAUUUGGGCCCCUUGGGUGGGUUUGGGGGUUUUUGGGGUGUGGGGGGGGUGAAAUCUGGGCCCCUUGGGUGUUAUUUUUUUGGGGGGGAGGAGAAAUCUGGGCCCCUUGGGUGGGUUUGGGGGAGGGGGGGGCAAAAUCUGGGCCCCUUGGGUGCUUUUUUUUUUGAGGGGGGGCGAAAUGUGGGUCCCUUGGGUGGGUUUUGGGGUGGGGGUACAUGUGUCAAUUAACCAGGGGGGCCAGAAGGGCCGUGUCCCGUGUGGUGCUGGGGAUUUUGGGGGCGUUGGGGGCGCCCAGGACACCCCCGUCCUUCAUGGGGGCGAGGGGGGGCUGCCCCCAGCAGCCAGCCCAGCCCCUGUGUGCCCCCCCCACGACCCCCAGCACUCGGAUCCUGCGCCCCCCCCCAGGCAGGAGCGGUCAUGGCAGCGCUGCGCCUGCUGCACCGGGCUGCCCGCGCAGGUGAGCAUCCACCCCGCUCCCCCCACCCCAAAACCAGCCCCAUUAUCCCCCCCCCUCACCCAUUUUCCCCUUUCUCUGCCCCCUCCCAGGCCCGCUGCCCGCCCCGUGCUACCUGCGCCCGCUCAGCACCACCACCCCCAGGGACUGCUACAAGUACGUCAACAUCCAGGAGCCGGCCAUGGACAUGAAAUCCAUCACCGACCGCGCCGCCCAGACCCUGCUGUGGACGGAGCUCUUCCGAGGCCUGGCCAUGACGCUGAGCUACCUCUUCCGUGA